GACGAACGCUGGCGGCGUGCCUAAUACAUGCAAGUAGAACGCUGAAGAGAGGAGCUUGCUCUUCUUGGAUGAGUUGCGAACGGGUGAGUAACGCGUAGGUAACCUGCCUUGUAGCGGGGGAUAACUAUUGGAAACGAUAGCUAAUACCGCAUAACAAUGGAUGACACAUGUCAUUUAUUUGAAAGGGGCAAUUGCUCCACUACAAGAUAGACCUGCGUUGUAUUAGCUAGUAGGUGAGGUAAUGGCUCACCUAGGCGACGAUACAUAGCCGACCUGAGAGGGUGAUCGGCCACACUGGGACUGAGACACGGCCCAGACUCCUACGGGAGGCAGCAGUAGGGAAUCUUCGGCAAUGGGGGCAACCCUGACCGAGCAACGCCGCGUGAGUGAAGAAGGUUUUCGGAUCGUAAAGCUCUGUUGUAAGUCAAGAACGGGUGUGAGAGUGGAAAGUUCACACUGUGACGGUAGCUUACCAGAAAGGGACGGCUAACUACGUG
rnacentral:rRNA from 1 species